AAAGGUUUUUCUGGCUCAUUUUCAGGGAUUGGAACCUUAAAGUGUUUGAACAGUAGGGUGAAGACCAUCCCAUAUCGUAUGCUAAAUCUGGAAUACCUAUGACAUAUGGAGAUGUAGUUCAACAUGAGCCUAGGGAGGUUUAGGAGAAUCCCUAGCAAGAUGUGGUGCAUAAUGGCUAAGUCUCGCUCCGAAACGAAAUCGAAGCGACCGGUUUUUGGGAACAAGACCCU
rnacentral:lncRNA from 1 species